rnacentral:rRNA from 1 species
UACAUGGGGUGCAAACGUUGCUCGGAAUUAUUGGGCGUAAAGCGCACGUAGGCGGUUUGUUAAGUCGGAUGUGAAAUCCCUCGGCUCAACUGAGGAAGUGCAUCCGAAACUGGCAGGCUUGAGUACUAAAGAGGGUCGCGGAAUUCCCGGUGUAGAGGUGAAAUUCGUAGAUAUCGGGAGGAACACCGGUGGCGAAGGCGGCGACCUGGGUAGAUACUGACGCUGAGGUGCGAAAAGCGUGGGGGAGCAAACAGG